rnacentral:rRNA from 1 species
AGUGAACGCUGGCGGUAGGCCUAACACAUGCAAGUCGAACGGCAGCACAGUAAGAUCUUGCUCUUACGGGUGGCGAGUGGCGUACGGGUGAGGAAUACAUCGUAAUCUACUUUUUCGUGGGGUAUAACGUAGGGAAACUUACGCUAAUACCGCAUACGACCUACGGUUGAAAGCAGGGGAUCUUCUUACCUUUCGCGAUUGAAUGAGCCGAUUUCGGUUUAGCUAGUUGGCUGGGUAAAGGCCCACCAAGUCGACGAUCCGUAGCUUGUCUGAGAGGAUGAUCAGCCAAACUGGAAGUGAGACACGGACCAGACUACUACGGGAGGAAGCAGUGGGGAAUAUUGGACAAUGGGCGAAAGCAUGAUACAGCAAGACCGAGUGGGUGAAGAAGGACUUCGGGUUGUAAAGCCCUUUUGGUGGGAAAGAAAAGAAGCAGGUUAAUACAAAGAUGUAAUGACGGUACCAAAAGAAUAAGCACCGGCUAACUUCGUG